CAAGAAGUGAGAAAAAUAGUAAUUAAUGUGAGGUCACUGAGGUGGAGGAUGCUGUAUAUAUAAUUUCUAUUACUGUUUGUUUCUUUCUAUAUGCUCAUAUGGGGUGCUUUAAAAGGUUGUUGUUCAGCUUGUAGGACUCAUUACUUAAAAAUGUUGACCAGAGCAGCUUUAACCAUGGCAGCAAAACAGCCAUAUAAAUCUGUGUUGUAACUGUCUGUAAACAACGUUGUUCUGUUGAUUGAGGCGUCAGAUCAGAAAUGGCUCAUAUGGGGUGCUUUAAAAGGUUGUUGUUCAGCUUGUAGGACUCAUUACUAAAGACACAGUUAAUGUCAGUCUUUUUUGUGUGUUUCGGGAAUAAGCAAAUGUGCACACAAAAAAAUCAAUAAAUAUUAGCAAAAUAUAAGAUAUUGUAUUUUAGCCAGAUUGCCCAGUUCUACCGUUUGGUUGUGUUGAGCAGGGAAUGAGCAAUGGAUGUAAUAGGCGCCAUGGACCUGGAUGGGUUUUGUCUCAUGAGUCCCCCAACUUUAUGGAAACGCAAUACUAAAUUGCUGGAGUACCCUUUCAGUUCCUUUGUACUUGUAACUGACUAGACAUUAGAUUUCUAAUAUAUACAUAUAAAUAGUAUAAAAAUGAAUCUGUACUGUCAAUAAAAGACUUUCUAAGGAAGUAUUUCCUGCACAUUGUGUGUUGAUGUUGGGUUGAAAUGUAAGCAUUUGACAGACAGCUACACAUCUUACGUGUGUGCCAAUACUAUUGGUGUGUGUCAUUUGUAAAAGGCUAAUAUUUUGUUUUGGGGUUUCAGCUACUGGGCCUAGAAGACUAGAAGCCAUUGGCUCUAUAACUCAAACCCAUGAGUGAGGGUCAGUGAUGUAUUAAGAAAUUUGAUGUGCCCAUCCACCUGCAAGACAACUGGAAAGGAGGAGAAUCUCUGCACACCAGGCAGAGGGUGUAAGGAAGCCUGGAGCCUACACAAGUGUCUGUGCUGCAGGGAUGACCAGAUUAGACACUUGAUUUUCAUGUUUUGGAUAAAGAAACUGUAUUUUAUAUAUUAGUACUAUAUUUGUACUUUAUAUCCCAAAUUGUUCAGUGUAAGCUGUAAGAGCCAGAGAAUAUCACAGCUUUACAAAAUGGCAAAUACACAGCAGAAUAUAUUGACAAUACUGAAAGUUUUUGUACAGUCUAGGCCCACUGUACAGUUCUAUUGCACAGCUUAUUGGAUUCACAUUUCAGUUACGUUCCUGUUAAAUUCCAUCAAAUGUGAUUGAUUUAUAGCUUCACUCUGUAACUUCAGUUCUUAAUUUCAUUUCAAGUUAAUUUGUAUUGUCCUUGAAUUCAAAUUCUUCUUGCAGUCAGGUCUUGUUGUAAUUAGUCAAGCCAGGAAACAAUGAAUACAAUGGAAUAGGAUUGGCACUGAAUUGGCAGGCAAAAGCAACUCUCAGCAUGUAAGCAGUCCAAAACAGAACAAGUCCAAUGGUCAGCAGGUGGUGCUUGACAGUGAUAUAAUGAUGAUCUGAGAUAGGACAAAAGGAGUCACAGACUUCAAUACACGCAGCUAGGGGAGACAACGAGACACAGGUGAAACUGAUCAAGAAACAGUUGAAAACAAUCAAAGCGAUCAAAGACAGGAAGCAAAACUAAAAGACACAUGAGGGAAGGAAACUAUUUCAAAAUAAAGAAAACAGGAAAUGCACAAAAAACACAAACCCAAAACCAUGACAGGUGUAAAAUAAAAUAAAGUUGUAUAGUAGUCCUCUGCAGUGCAUCUGAUACAGAUUCUUCUCUUGUGAGAUUAUAAGUAAGACGUUUACUGGAGCCUGACAUCCUCUCAUGUGUUGCUGACCUUCCCCAGGUGCUGAAUUUAAACCCAAAGCGGCAGCACUCUGCUGCUAUUGCCAACCUUCCCCAGAAGCGGAAGUGGACCUCUGUGGCUUGUCCCUCCAAAGCUUCUGUUGAACAUCCAGAGGUGAUGAAUUUGGUUCCCACUCCUCAGCCCUUUACCCCAGCUGCUGCCACAACCGCUCAGUGGAAGAGUACCAGCAAAUCUACCACGAAGUGGUAGAUGACAUGCUGAGUUUCUGGCAGGAAGCUACAGCCCGAACCUCCACCUACAGCCUCUGCCAGGAACCUGCUUCUCCGCCUCCACCUGCAGAUUCUGGCAGAAAGCUGCAAUGUGAACCUCCACCUACAGCCUGUCCCAGUAAUUUGCAGCCGCCGCCUCCACCCGCAGAUUCUGGCAGAAAGAUGCAGCCAGAACCUCGACCUGCAGAGUCUGACAGAAAGCUGGAGUCCGAACCUCCACCUGCAGAGUAUGACAGAAAGCUGUAGCCGCCUACUUGCAGGCACACAGGACCAAACUGAACUGCCAACGCAGCUGAACAUCAUGGAUCAGGUGGCUAUCUAUGUUAACUUUGAGGGACCAUCAGGUAAUCCUGGCGAAAAGAAGAGUUUAGUAAAAUGUUCAGAAAGUAUUCAUGAAAAUGAAGACAAGAUCCACACUCAGCCAAACAGAACUGGACCUGCACUCUCAG